rnacentral:rRNA from 1 species
UGUUUCGGCAAGGGGGUCAUCCCGACUUACCAACCCGAUGCAAACUGCGAAUACCGGAGAAUGUUAUCACGGGAGACACACGGCGGGUGCUAACGUCCGUCGUGAAGAGGGAAACAACCCAGACCGCCAGCUAAGGUCCCAAAGUCAUGGUUAAGUGGGAAACGAUGUGGGAAGGCCCAGACAGCCAGGAUGUUGGCUUAGAAGCAGCCAUCAUUUAAAGAAAGCGUAAUAGCUCACUGGUCGAGUCGGCCUGCGCGGAAGAUGUAACGGGGCUAAACCAUGCACCGAAGCUGCGGCAGCGACGCUUAUGCGUUGUUGGGUAGGGGAGCGUUCUGUAAGCCUGCGAAGGUGUACUGUGAGGUAUGCUGGAGGUAUCAGAAGUGCGAAUGCUGACAUAAGUAACGAUAAAGCGGGUGAAAAGCCCGCUCGCCGGAAGACCAAGGGUUCCUGUCCAACGUUAAUCGGGGCAGGGUGAGUCGACCCCUAAGGCGAGGCCGAAAGGCGUAGUCGAUGGGAAACAGGUUAAUAUUCCUGUACUUGGUGUUACUGCGAAGGGGGGACGGAGAAGGCUAUGUUGGCCGGGCGACGGUUGUCCCGGUUUAAGCGUGUAGGCUGGUUUUCCAGGCAAAUCCGGAAAAUCAAGGCUGAGGCGUGAUGACGAGGCACUACGGUGCUGAAGCAACAAAUGCCCUG